rnacentral:rRNA from 1 species
UACAGAGGUCCCAAGCGUUGUUCGGAUUCACUGGGCGUAAAGGGUGCGCAGGUGGGUUUGCAAGUUUGAUGUGAAAGCCCCGGGCUUAACCCGGGAAUGGCAUUGAAUACUGCAGAUCUGGAGGAUUGGAGGGGGGACUGGAAUUCCUGGUGUAGCGGUGGAAUGCGCAGAUAUCAGGAGGAACACCGAUGGCGAAGGCAGAUCUCUGGGCCGUAACUGACGCUGAGGAGCGAAAGCAUGGGGAGCGAACAGG